UACGGAAGGCAGCAGUGGGGAAUAUUGCACAAUGGGCGCAAGCCUGAUGCAGCCAUGCCGCGUGUAUGAAGAAGGCCUUCGGGUUGUAAAGUACUUUCAGUCGUGAGGAAGGUGUUAAGGUUAAUAACCUUAGCAAUUGACGUUAGCGACAGAAGAAGCACCGGCUAACUCCGUGCCAGCAGCCGCGGUAAUACGGAGGGUGCGAGCGUUAAUCGGAAUUACUGGGCGUAAAGGGCACGCAGGCGGUUAAUUAAGUUGGAUGUGAAAUCCCCGGGCUUAACCUGGGAAUGGCACUCAAGACUGGUUAGCUAGAGUCUUGUAGAGGGGGUUAGAAUUCCAUGUGUAGCGGUGAAAUGCGUAGAGAUGUGGAGGAAUACCGGUGGCGAAGGCGGCCCCUGGGACAAAGACUGACGCUCAUGUGCGAAAGCUGGGGAGCAAACAGGAUUAGAUACC
rnacentral:rRNA from 1 species